rnacentral:rRNA from 1 species
GAUGAACGCUGGCGGCGUGCUUAACACAUGCAAGUCGAACGGAAGGGCGGGCAUCUUGCUGGCCGCAAGUGGGGGGCGGACGAGUGAGACACCCGUGCAUACCCAACCUAUAGGGAUGGGAUAGCUACGGGAAACCGUAUCUCAUAUCGGAUCAGAUGUUGAACGCGGGGGUUCUAUGGAGAUCGCCGGUCUUGGUGGCCCGAUUAGAUGGAUCCGAGCUGCAUUAGCUAGUUGGUAAGGUAACGGCCUACCAAGGCAACGAUGCAUAGCCGACCUGAGAGGGUGAUCGGCCACACUGGAACUGAGACACGGUCCAGACUCCUACGGGAGGCAGCAGUAGGGAAUCUUCCGCAAUGGGCGAAAGCCUGACGCAGCAACGCCGCGUGUGUGAUGAAGGUCUUCGGAUCGUAAAGCUCUUUUAGUGGGGAAGAACAUAUGUGUAAGUAUACGUGCACAUCUUGACGGUACCUGAUCAAAAAGCAACGGCUAACUACGUG